UCACGCUGCUGCUCCGUCCGCGCCGCCUGCUUCCAGCGCUCGGGUAACCCGGGAAGGCCAGAGUCAACCAGCCCCGGACCAGCGUCCCGCACCCUGGCCGUCCCGGCCAGCCUGGAUGUAGACGGUAAGGAAGGGGACGCAAAGACUCGGAUGGCUACACAUCUGACAUGAGCCGGAAACAGGAAUACUCACUGAUAAAACAAAUUAAGCUUGGACAAGAGAAGCUGGAUACAGAUAACUCCUACGGGUCUCGAUGGUGAUGGAGAAAGAUGGAGGGGUCUGACCUGCGGGCCACCUGGAAAACCAGCCAGUUGUGCCGCUACCCGCAGAUAGAUGCACAGUGCUGCCGGGAAGCCGUUUGGCCACAUCAAUGGGAAAUUAGGAAAUUACAGGCACAGUGUACAGGAAAUAGGUACAGUAAACACAAGUUGGAGAGUCCUGCCACAGAGCAACAGAAUUCGUCCACCUCAGCCAGAGCAGACUGUAACUGUUCUACAGGAGCAAGAAUUACAAGGUGACUGGGUCAUGCCAGGGGAUGCACUGUGCAACCCCCACGCCUAAGGAGAUGGGCAACAAGCCAGCGCCUGCUGCCUCAACCUCCCACCACCCCUCCACCUCUGGACCAGGCAGC